AUCGCUUCUUGGCCUUUUGGCUAAGAUCUAGUGUACUUUCUGUUCUUAUCAGUUUAAUAUCUGAUACAUCCUCUAUGCAAGCAUUCCUUGUAGUAGAAUACUAUAUUUUCCCAAGUACUCCAA
rnacentral:snRNA from 1 species